rnacentral:rRNA from 1 species
GACGAACGCUGGCGGCGUGCUUAACACAUGCAAGUCGAGCGGAAAGGCCCUUCGGGGUACUCGAGCGGCGAACGGGUGAGUAACACGUGAGUAACCUGCCCCAGACUUUGGGAUAACCCUCGGAAACGGGGGCUAAUACCGGAUACGACACAGCUUCGCAUGGGGUCUGUGUGGAAAGUUUUUCGGUUUGGGAUGGGCUCGCGGCCUAUCAGCUUGUUGGUGGGGUGAUGGCCUACCAAGGCGACGACGGGUAGCCGGCCUGAGAGGGCGACCGGCCACACCGGGACUGGAACACCGCCCAGACUCCUACGGGAGGCAGCAGUGGGGAAUAUUGCACAAUGGGCGGAAGCCUGAUGCAGCGACGCCGCGUGAGGGAUGACGGCCUUCGGGUUGUAAACCUCUUUCAGCAGGGACGAAGCGUAAGUGACGGUACCUGCAGAAGAAGCGCCGGCCAACUACGUG